rnacentral:rRNA from 1 species
GUGGGGAAUCUUCCGCAAUGGACGAAAGUCUGACGGAGCGACGCCGCGUGAGUGAAGAAGGCCUUCGGGUCGUAAAGCUCUGUCAUCAGGGACGAACGGCCGGUGGAGUGGAAAGCCACCGGAUUGACGGUACCUGAGAAGGAAGCCACGGCUAACUACGUGCCAGCAGCCGCGGUAAUACGUAGGUGGCAAGCGUUGUCCGGAAUUAUUGGGCGUAAAGCGCGCGCAGGUGGGAUCUUAAGUCCAUUUUUAAAGUUCGGAGCUCAACUCCGUGAUGGGAUGGAAACUGGGAUUCUUGAGUACCGGAGAGGAAAGCGGAAUGCCCCGUGUGGCGGUGAAAUGCGUAGAUAUGGGGAGGAACACCAGUGGCGAAGGCGGCUUUCUGGACGGUGUCUGACACUGAGGCGCGAAAGCCAGGGGAGCGAACGGGAUUAGAUACCCCGGUAGUCC